rnacentral:rRNA from 1 species
UAGGGAAUCUUCCGCAAUGGACGCAAGUCUGACGGAGCAACGCCGCGUGAGUGAAGAAGGAUUUCGGUUCGUAAAACUCUGUUGUUAGAGAAGAACAGCGCAUAGAGUAACUGUUAUGCGUGUGACGGUAUCUAACCAGAAAGCCACGGCUAACUACGUGCCAGCAGCCGCGGUAAUACGUAGGUGGCAAGCGUUGUCCGGAUUUAUUGGGCGUAAAGCGAGCGCAGGCGGUCAAUUAAGUCUGAUGUGAAAGCCCCCGGCUCAACCGGGGAGGGUCAUUGGAAACUGGUUGACUUGAGUACAGAAGAGGAGAGUGGAAUUCCAUGUGUAGCGGUGAAAUGCGUAGAUAUAUGGGGGAAAACCAGUGGCGAAGGCGACUCUCUGGUCUGUAACUGACGCUGAGGCUCGAAAGCGUGGGUAGCAAACAGG